GACGAACGCUGGCGGCGUGCUUAACACAUGCAAGUCGAACGGAAAGGCCCUGCUUUUGUGGGGUGCUCGAGUGGCGAACGGGUGAGUAACACGUGAGUAACCUGCCCUUGACUUUGGGAUCACUUCAGGAAACUGGGGCUAAUACCGGAUAGGAGCUCCUGCUGCAUGGUGGGGGUUGGAAAGUUUCGGCGGUUGGGGAUGGACUCGCGGCUUAUCAGCUUGUUGGUGGGGUAGUGGCUUACCAAGGCGUUGACGGGUAGCCGGCCUGAGAGGGUGACCGGCCACACUGGGACUGAGACACGGCCCAGACUCCUACGGGAGGCAGCAGUGGGGAAUAUUGCACAAUGGGCGGAAGCCUGAUGCAGCAACGCCGCGUGCGGGAUGACGGCCUUCGGGUUGUAAACCGCUUUCGCCUGGGACGAAGCGUGAGUGACGGUAAUGGGUAAAGAAGCACCGGCUAACUACGUG
rnacentral:rRNA from 1 species